rnacentral:rRNA from 1 species
UACGUAGGGGGCAAGCGUUGUCCGGAAUCAUUGGGCGUAAAGAGCGUGUAGGUGGCUCGAUAAGUCUGCUGUGAAAGUCCAGGGCUCAACCCUGGAAGGCCGGUGGAAACUGUCGGGCUAGAGUCCGGAAGAGGCGAGUGGAAUUCCCGGUGUAGCGGUGAAAUGCGCAGAUAUCGGGAGGAACACCUGUGGCGAAGGCGGCCCCCUGGUUGGAUACUGACGCUGAUACGCGAAAGCGUGGGGAGCAAACAGG